GGAUGCGAUCAUACCAGCACUAAAGCAAC
rnacentral:rRNA from 1 species